rnacentral:rRNA from 1 species
UGGCUCAGAUUGAACGCUGGCGGCAGGCCUAACACAUGCAAGUCGAACGGUAACAGGAAGCAGCUUGCUGCUUUGCUGACGAGUGGCGGACGGGUGAGUAAUGUCUGGGAAACUGCCUGAUGGAGGGGGAUAACUACUGGAAACGGUGGCUAAUACCGCAUAACGUCGCAAGACCAAAGAGGGGGACCUUCGGGCCUCUUGCCAUCAGAUGUGCCCAGAUGGGAUUAGCUUGUUGGUGAGGUAACGGCUCACCAAGGCGACGAUCCCUAGCUGGUCUGAGAGGAUGACCAGCCACACUGGAACUGAGACACGGUCCAGACUCCUACGGGAGGCAGCAGUGGGGAAUAUUGCACAAUGGGCGCAAGCCUGAUGCAGCCAUGCCGCGUGUAUGAAGAAGGCCUUCGGGUUGUAAGUACUUUCAGCGGGGAGGAAGGUGUUGCGGUUAAUAACCGCAGCAAUUGACGUUACCCGCAGAAGAAGCACCGGCUAACUCCGUGCCAGCAGCCGCGGUAAUACGGAGGGUGCAAGCGUUAAUCGGAAUUACUGGGCGUAAAGCGCACGCAGGCGGUCUGUCAAGUCGGAUGUGAAAUCCCCGGGCUCAACCUGGGAACUGCAUUCGAAACUGGCAGGCUUGAGUCUUGUAGAGGGGGGUAGAAUUCCAGGUGUAGCGGUGAAAUGCGUAGAGAUCAGGAGGAAUACCGGUGGCGAAGGCGGCCCCCUGGACAAAGACUGACGCUCAGGUGCGAAAGCGUGGGGAGCAAACAGGAUUAGAUACCCUGGUAGUCCACGCCGUAAACGAUGUCUACUUGGAGGUUGUGCCCUUGAGGCGUGGCUUCCGGAGCUAACGCGUUAAGUAGACCGCCUGGGGAGUACGGCCGCAAGGUUAAAACUCAAAUGAAUUGACGGGGGCCCGCACAAGCGGUGGAGCAUGUGGUUUAAUUCGAUGCAACGCGAAGAACCUUACCUGGUCUUGACAUCCACAGAAGAAUCCAGAGAUGGAUUUGUGCCUUCGGGAACUGUGAGACAGGUGCUGCAUGGCUGUCGUCAGCUCGUGUUGUGAAAUGUUGGGUUAAGUCCCGCAACGAGCGCAACCCUUAUCCUUUGUUGCCAGCGAUUAGGUCGGGAACUCAAAGGAGACUGCCAGUGAUAAACUGGAGGAAGGUGGGGAUGACGUCAAGUCAUCAUGGCCCUUACGACCAGGGCUACACACGUGCUACAAUGGCGCAUACAAAGAGAAGCGACCUCGCGAGAGCAAGCGGACCUCAUAAAGUGCGUCGUAGUCCGGAUUGGAGUCUGCAACUCGACUCCAUGAAGUCGGAAUCGCUAGUAAUCGUGGAUCAGAAUGCCACGGUGAAUACGUUCCCGGGCCUUGUACACACCGCCCGUCACACCAUGGGAGUGGGUUGCAAAAGAAGUAGGUAGCUUAACCUUCGGGAGGGCGCUUACCACUUUGUGAUUCAUGACUGGGGUGAAGUCGUAACAAGGUA